rnacentral:rRNA from 1 species
UACGUAGGGUGCAAGCGUUAUCCGGAAUUAUUGGGCGUAAAGAGCUCGUAGGCGGUCUGUCGCGUCGGCUGUGAAAACUCGGGGCUCAACCCCGAGCCUGCAGUCGAUACGGGCAGACUAGAGUGCUGUAGGGGAGACUGGAAUUCCUGGUGUAGCAGUGAAAUGCGUAGAUAUCAGGAGGAACACCGAUGGCGAAGGCAGGUCUCUGGGCUGACACUGACGCUCAUGCACGAAAGCGUGGGGAGCAAACAGG